ensembl:lncRNA
GUAGCUACGGAAGGUGACAAUCAUUUCUGCCCCUCCCACUUCCUGGUUCACCAAUUAGAACGGGUAUAAAGGCUCCACUUAACAACACUACAGAAGCAUGCUGUGCCUUUCCGUGUCAGAGUCCGGUUUUGAUAACCCAUUUGAGCUGGUACGUAGUUUUAUCUGCGUUUUAGAAAGAAUAAUUUUGCCAUUAGUGACGUUUGUGCCCCAGACCCAGUGCCUCAGGGAGGCCCAGACCAGGUGGGAGCCGGCCCAGAUGGAGAGAAUGUAGUCCGGGCUUACAAGCACUGCUGUUUUUCUUGCUUAUAUUUUGUUCCCGUUAUGUGUUUCUCUAGUUUGUUUCGUUCUGUUGAGUUAGAUUACUUUUUGGUAGUUUUUCAGUACCUUAAACGAAAAUUGUUUGUUUAGUUGUUUUUCCCCAGAAAGUUUGUUUUAUACAAUUUUUGUAUUUGUUUCGGUUUAGGAGAGCUUGGGCCAGGCAGCAGCGUGGCUACCCGGACGGUGGUGGGGCUGGUGACUGGGCCACUCACUUGCUCCUCACAUUUUUCUUAGUUAUGUGUUUUAAUAUUGCCUUAAACACGUUUGUUAGUUGCAUGUUUUUGGUUUUGAUUCACGUCGUUUGCGUGAAUGUGGGUGCAGCACUGGAGGGAGUGAGGGCCUUGUCCCAGAGCCCUUUAUUUAAUAUUUAAAUAAAUAUUGUACUCUGGGGGAAUACUUUGCCUUGGUCUGUUUACAUUGGUCAUCUGUGGUUGAUUAAUAAAUAUCCCUACGGGACAGGGUUUAGUCGUAUCCCGUGAGGCCUUAAGCCUCCUCCAGAGUAGUAAUCAUGAUUCGGUCAACGUGAAACUUAACAUGUGUAGUGUCAACACACUGGCCAACAUGUAGAUGUGCUUUUAGCCUGGUAUCUCCGUGUUUCAUAGGAUUUAGAGGGCUGUUAGUGAUUUUAUUUCAGGCAAUUCACAGUUCAAGCGUUAUUUUGUGUUUUAUUUCUUAACGAGUAACUUAUGAAAUGAUUUCAACACACCAGAACACUCUCAGGCGUUCCUUUAUCCUCACAGAAAAAAUUGUCCAGCUCUGUGGUUGCAGGGCAGACACAAACUAAUACCAUAAAAUAAGGAGCCAUGUAAGACCAAUCAACAGGAAAUGACGUCUUCAUAUGGGAAAAUGUCCUGACAAAGAUACAUUAAAUGAUUUGCUUCUCAAACUAGAAAUCACAUCAAAUGUCACCAAACUAUGAACCUGAAGGUUUAUUUCACUGCAAAUGCCUAUGCAACAGUGAGUCCAGUUUUCUUCCAUCCAUCGUUCUUACCCUCCACAUUUCCUCUGCUUACCUCACGUUGUCUCCUUUUAUCUCCCCUUCAUCUCUCUUCUCCAGUCUCAGAUCUCUAACUACAACCUUCUCCCCUCCUCCUUUCCCCCCUCCACCCCUCCCAUACCUAUCCACUUCGUCCACACUGAAGGUCUUACAAAUGGUCCACUGCUGACAAAGCUGCGCGAGCCAACAGACUUUGCUGCAGUCUGCGCAAAAUCGAGAUUUACGUAGGGAUACAACAACCAGACAGUGUGACCAGAGAGAACGAUGAAUGGGUGCAAAAAUAAAAAUAAUCCACAAACUGAGGUCAUGGGUCAGGUUCCUGCACCAGCAAGGAGUCCAGUCACACUUAUCUCACCUACCCACACUACCAGCUAAAGCUAGCCUAGCAUUUCUCCCUCUCCCUCCAUCACAUCUACUGACAGCGGAGAGGGCAGCAGCUAAAUCACUGAAUUGAUCUCCUAUUUAUAUUUUCCCCUGAAUAAAUAACAUGCCUCUAUCUCAGGCACAGUGUAAUGAAGCCGUAAAUUGUCCCUACCUCUGAUGCAAAAGCUAGAAAAGUUGACACAAGGGUUUUCUGCUAUAGAGCCCAGGGAAGCAGGGGACUAGUAUGCACUUAAAGAGAAUAAUGAACUUCAUAAAAGCUCAGACGGCAGAGUGAUGAAUGAAAGAGUGCAAAGUUGGAAUGAAUGUGAAGAAAAGAUUCAUCCACUCUUCACAAUAUUUCAAGUCUUGCUAAUUAACAGUAAGCAAUCAAGAGUAAUGACAGAGUAAUCAGUAAAGCUGGACUACGGGUCUUCUUUCUUCGAGCAACCUCGGAAUAAUAUAUCAUAUUGGAUAAUAUGGUAUAUGUUUUAGUUUUGUAUAUUAUCAGUUUUGAUUUAUAUUUCUUUUUAAUAAUCUGAAAGUGCAGUAUAGUUAGUACCUGGUGUCAAAUGUAGAAAAAAAGAAAGUGGGGAAAUAGAAGUAUGAAGUAGCAUAACAUGGAAACGCUCAAAGUACAAUUACAUACGGUGGCCCUGAAGUGCAAAACACAACGGAAAAAAGGAAAACACAACAGCAAAUAGGAAAACACAACAACAUUAACUUCUUACGGAAAGGGUAGGGCCUUAUAGCAGGAAGUAGAGGAAUGACCCUUAUGAUUGGACAGUCGGACUGUCUGUCUUUUAACAGUAAAUGAUAAAGGGCUCUCAAGUGUCACGCACUCCGGCCACACAUACAAUUCCUCACGCCAAGGAAUCGGACUCCGGUCCCCGAGCCGUGUCGGCCAUAGCGUCCCGCAGAAAGCGGCAUUUCUCAGAUUUCAAAAACCGAUUUCACGGUAAUUUGAAUCCUCCAUGUCACUUUCCGUCGCCGGCUUCAGAUUAAGAGUUAAAAGACAGACAGUCCGACUGUCCAAUCAGAAGGGUCCGUCCUCUGCUUUCUGCUAUAAGGCCCUACCCUUUCCGUAAGAAGUUAAUGUCGUGGUGUUUUCCUAUUUGCCUUUGUGUUUUCCUAUUUGUCGUUGUGUUUUCCAAUUUGCUGUUGUGUUUUCCUAUUUGCUGUUGUGUUUUCCUAUUUGUCGUUGUGUUUUCCUAUUUGCUGUUGUGUUUUCCUAUUUGCUGUUGUGUUUUCCUAUUUGCUGUUGUGUUUUCCUAUUUGUCGUUGUGUUUUCCUAUUUUCUGUUGUGCGUUCCUAUUUGCCGUUGUGUUUUCUUAUUUUCUGUUGUGUUUUCCUAUUUGUCGUUGUGUUUUCCUAUUUGCUGUUGUGUUUUCCUAUUUGCUGUUGUGUUUUCCUAUUUGUCGUUGUGUUUUCCUAUUUUCUGUUG